UUUCGGCCAGAUUUGUCAAAGUUUACAUUUACACUACAUGGCAACUACACGGAAAGUACACAUUUGCUACAUAAUGGGAGGAAAAAGAGGGAGUGGGUCUGUUUCGAUAGUCGAUCAAAUGCACCCUUCUGGCGCUCAGAAAUAUACCGAAAUAUACCGUAUAUUUACCGAUGAAAAGACGAACUUAUUCCAAUUAACCUAUAUUUAAACAGUUUGAACAUAAGUUUAGCAGCGGAAAAUAUAUAAUAAAUCAUAACAAUAGUCCUUUUUGCGGAUCCAUCCACCCCUUCACCCCCACGAUAUCUUUCUUUACUACAUACCGAUAUACGAUAUACUUUCAACUCGACAGAAAAGUGGGUCAGAUAAUAUAUCGUAAAUGGCCAUCCUGAGUAAAUGUAUCGAAACUGAUUAAUCGUUAUCGUUGCUCGAAAUUCAAUACGACUUUUGUUGUUGCUUUCCGUUGUUUUUAUUUUUGAUUUUUUUGUAUUCUAAAAUUCUUGUACAAUUGUUUUAUUUUAUGACGGCCUAAUAAUCGACUAAUUUUUUAUAUAUUGCUGCUUUGAUAACGCUACAUGGAGAUUGGCGGUGAUUCAAAGAGGAAUAUUUGGUGAUAUUAAAGUACAAUUUUUAUUAUUUUAAUUUUCUUUAUCCAAGUCAAAGAUCUAACCUUGCAGCAUCUUCAGACGGACUAAAAUAUUUGUAUCUCAAUUAUGGAUUUUCUAAACAAAUUUAAAAUUCAAAUUGAAAACGUAUUAUUUCAGAUUAUUUCACACAUAAAAAUGUAAUUUGUUUGCUUUACUGAAUUAAAAACCCCAAUUGGUAUAUCGCAUUUUGGCGUGGUUAGGAAUGCCUAAUUUAUACGUUUUUUAAAUAUAUUUGUAAGUGUAUUUAAUUGUAUUUUAAUAUGUGCCCCCUAGUUUUCAGCUUGCGUUGAAAAGUCUUUGAAAAAAA